AAAAAGAAAAAGAAGAGAGAAUGGUUAGCACUCUCCUUUGACAGACAGAAGAGGCUUUGGCCUGCAACACAUAUGGUUAAAAGCAUGGCCACCUACUUCGUAGCAUCAACUGUUUUUU
rnacentral:ncRNA from 1 species